rnacentral:rRNA from 1 species
AACCCCUACCUUUAGUUGCCAUCAGGUAAUGCUGGGGACUCUAAAGAACUGCCUACGCAAGUAGGUGAGGAAGGCGGGGAUGGCGCCAAAUCAGCACGGCCCUUACGUCCAGGGCUACACACGUGCUACAAUGGCCGAUACAGAGGGCAGCUACCUGGUGACAGGAUGCAAAUCUCCAAAGUCGGUCUCAGUUCGGAUCGGAGUCUGCAACCCGACUCCGUGAAGUUGGAUUCGCUAGUAAUCGCGCAUCAGCCAUGGCGCGGUGAAUACGUUCCCGGGCCUU